rnacentral:piRNA from 1 species
UACUUCGCAUUCAACCUACAAGGACUUCUUGC